rnacentral:rRNA from 1 species
UGCGCAGGCGGUUUUGUAAGACAGAUGUGAAAUCCCCGGGCUUAACCUGGGAACUGCGUUUGUGACUGCAAGACUUGAGUGCGGCAGAGGGGGGUGGAAUUCCACGUGUAGCAGUGAAAUGCGUAGAGAUGUGGAGGAACACCGAUGGCGAAGGCAGCCCCCUGGGUCGACACUGACGCUCAUGCACGAAAGCGUGGGUAGCAAACAGGAUUAGAUACCCUGGUAGUCCACGCCCUAAACGAUGCGAACUAGGUGUUGGGGAAGGAGACUUCCUUAGUACCGCAGCUAACGCGUGAAGUUCGCCGCCUGGGGAGUACGGUCGCAAGAUUAAA